rnacentral:rRNA from 1 species
AUUUGACUCAACACGGGAAAUCUUACCGGGUCCGGACGUAUCGAGGAUUGACAGAUAGUUAUACAUGCCCUACAAGCAAGUAGGAGUCAGGUUUUAAACCUAAUGGCUCUUUCAUGAUUAUAUGAUAGGUGGUGCAUGGCCGUUCUUAGUUCGUGGAGUGAUCUGUCUGCUUAAUUGCGUUUCAAAUUUUUAACCGAGGACCGGGUUUUGGUUUGGCUAGUGGUCCUACGAUGACUGUGAACUGUCAUGUCUUCGGAUGUACGACUAUCGGUCUAGGAUCACAUGACUUGCCCCUGGGACUCUUUUGAACGCAACGGACGUGAUUGCAACCCCUUGUUGAGAUUAGAGAUAGUCUCGAUAUUCACUGGCCAAACUGGCUGCUUUAUGCAGUCUUGUUGAAUGGUGGAUAAACUCGGGGGACUGCUGACUAUAACCAUUUCUCAAAACAGAGGAAGGUUGCGGCAAUAACAGGU